UCUCCGUUGGUGAACCUGCGGAGGGAUCAUUACAAGUGACCCCGGUCUUACCACCGGGAUGUUCAUAACCCUUUGUUGUCCGACUCUGUUUCCUCCGGGGCGACCCUGCCUUCGGGCGGGGGCUCCGGGUGGACACUUCAAACUCUUGCGUAACUUUGCAGUCUGAGUAAACUUAAUUAACAAAUUAAAACUUUUAACAACGGAUCUCUUGGUUCUG
rnacentral:misc_RNA from 1 species